AUUGAACGCUGGCGGCAGGCCUAACACAUGCAAGUCGAGCGGAGCGGCGGACGGGUGAGUAAUGCCUAGGAAUCUGCCUGGCAGUGGGGGAUAACGUCCGGAAACGGGCGCUAAUACCGCAUACUAUCAGAUGAGCCUAGGUCGGAUUGGCUAGUUGGUGGGGGAAGGGCCUACCGAGGCGAAGAUCCGUAACUGGUCUGGGAGGAUGAACAGUCACACUGGAACUGAGAAACGGUCCAGACUCCUACGGGAGACAGCAGGGGGGAAUAUUGGACAUUGGGCGAAAGCCUGAUCCAUCCAUGCCGCGUGUGUGAAGAAGGUCUUCGGAUUGUAAAGCACUUUAAGUUGGGAGGCGUUACCAACAGAAUAAGCACCGGCUAACUUCGUGCCAGCAGCCGCGGUAAUAC
rnacentral:rRNA from 1 species